AUAUUACUUCCUCCGUCCCAAAAUUCUUGUCUUACAAUUAUGUAGAUACAAAUGUAUCUUACACUAAAAAUGACUAGAUACAUCCGUAUCUAGACAAAUUUAAGAAAAGAAUUUUGAGACGAAGGGAGUACUUA
rfam:Triticum urartu cultivar G1812 contig694774, whole genome shotgun sequence.